rnacentral:misc_RNA from 1 species
GAUGAAGAACGUAGCGAAAUGCGAUAAGUAGUGUGAAUUGCAGAAUUCAGUGAAUCAUCGAAUCUUCGAACGCACAUUGCGCCUUCUAGUAUUCUGGGAGGCAUGCCUGUUUGAGCGUCAUUAAACCUCUCUCAAGUAUGAUUACUUGGAUGUGAAGGAAGAGUACCUUAAACUUAAGGAGUGUUCUCCUUUGAAAUUGAUUAGCAGAUGGUAAUGUUAUUAAAUCCCUGAUGUUGUAAGAAAUAACAGUGGUUUUGUAGACUAUUAUCUAGCUUUAAAUUAUAAUUUUUAUUAUGGUUGACCUCAAAUCAGGUAAGGAUACCCGCUGAACUUAAGCAUAUCAAUAAGCGGAGGA